UGGGGAAUCUUCCGCAAUGGGGCGCAAGCCUGACGGAGCAACGCCGCGUGAGUGAAGAAGGUCUUCGGAUCGUAAAGCUCUGUUGAGAGGGACGAGAGACAUAAUCAGGAAAUGGGUUAUGGAGGACGGUACCUUUCGAGGAAGCCACGGCUAACUACGUGCCAGCAGCCGCGGUAAUACGUAGGUGGCGAGCGUUGUCCGGAAUUAUUGGGCGUAAAGGGAGCGCAGGCGGGAUAUCAAGUCUUUCUUAAAAGUGCGGGGCUCAACCCCGUGAUGGGAAGGAAACUGGUAUUCUUGAGUGCAGGAGAGGAAAGCGGAAUUCCUAGUGUAGCGGUGAAAUGCGUAGAUAUUAGGAGGAACACCAGUGGCGAAGGCGGCUUUCUGGACUGUAACUGACGCUGAGGCUCGAAAGCCAGGGGA
rnacentral:rRNA from 1 species